AAAAUCUUGAUAAUAGAUGUGAAAUGACCCUGGAAAACAAAACAAGGAUGUUUAUUAAUUUACAGUGGGAAGUAUACCUGCCAACUUGGAUGGCUAUUCCUGUUAGCCUGACCAAGUCAUCCUCUUCCCAAAGAGAGGCCACACAGGAAGCCGAGGUACCACUAGACUACUUGGGGAGCACUGAGUUGGGGCAGGAAAAAGAUACAAAGAAGUUCAGAAGAGGGAGAGGUCACUUCUGGCUGUGCAAUCAGCAAAGACUUCAUGAGGUACUCCAUUUUACAACAGGUCUCUGGAACAUAUUCAUCUUGUAACAGCUCUAACUAUGUGAAAGUAAAAGUGGUACUUGCUCAGUUGUGUCUGACUGUUUGUGGACUGUAGCCCACUAGGCUCCUUUGUCCAUGGAAUUCUUCAGGCAAGAAUAUU